AACUAUAACGGUCCUAAGGUAGCGAAAUUCCUUGUCAGGUAAGUUCUGACCCGCACGAAAGGCGUAACGAUUUGGGCGCUGUCUCAGCUGUAGACUCGGUGAAGUCUUAGUACCUGUGAAGAUGCAGGUUACCCGCGACUAGACGGAAAGACCCCAUGGAGCUUCACUGCAGGUUGAUAUUGGGAUUUGAUGCAGCAUGUACAGGAUAGGUAGGAGGCAAAGAGAUGGAUACGCCAGUAUUCAAGGAGCCGCUGUUGGGAUACUACCCCUGUUGUAUUGGAUUUCUAACCGGACGACGUAGAGCCGUUGACGGGACAGUGUCAGUCGGGCAGUUUGACUGGGGCGGUCGCCUCCCAAAGAGUAACGGAGGCGCCCAAAGAUACCCUCAGCUUGGAUGGAAACCAAGCGCAGAGUGCAAAGGCAAAAGGGUGUUUGACUGCGAGACCUACAAGUCGAGCAGGGACGAAAGUCGGGCUUAGUGAUCCGGCGGUGCUGAAUGGAAAGGCCGUCGCUCAACGGAUAAAAGCUACCCUGGGGAUAACAGGCUGAUCUCCCCCAAGAGUUCACAUCGACGGGGAGGUUUGGCACCUCGAUGUCGGCUCAUCGCAUCCUGGGGCUGAAGUAGGUCCCAAGGGUUGGGCUGUUCGCCCAUUAAAGCGGUACGCGAGCUGGGUUCAGAACGUCGUGAGACAGUUCGGUCCCUAUCUGUCGUGGGCGCAGGAAAUUUGAGAAGAGCUGUCCUCAGUACGAGAGGACCGGGAUGGACGCAUCAAUGGUGGACCAGUUGUCACGCCAGUGGCAUAGCUGGGUAGCUAAAUGCGGAAGGGAUAAACGCUGAAGGCAUCUAAGUGUGAAACCCACUUCAAGAUGAGAUUUCCCAUUGCGCAAGCAAGUAAGACCCCUUAAAGACGAUAAGGUAGAUAGGUCAGGAGUGUAAGCAUGGUGACAUGUUAAGCGGACUGAUACUAAUAGGUCGAGGGCUUGACCGA
rnacentral:rRNA from 1 species